rnacentral:lncRNA from 1 species
AUGGUAGGGCGCCGUGGAACUCCCACGCAGGAGAAGAGAAGCGGACUGGACAGAGCCCCGCAGAGUGCUUGUUCCUUGAUCCACUUGCCCGUUUCCCUCGUAAUUACAAGUUCAAGUCUGAUACAUCGGAUCAGGAGGUCCCGCCGCCCAGGCAGGUGGAUGUUCCAGGGUUCACUUGGUGGCAGCUCUACAGAACUGAUUAAAACAAGGGCCGGAGGAGAGCAGACACAUUACUGCAGAGCUGGCCCAUUUCAGCUGCCAAGGAGUGAAGCGCUUGCAGGCGGUUGUGCGCCAUUCUCCUGGACCCCCGUGCCCAUGGCUCCUGCAUCCGGAGAGCCUCUUUUCACUAUUGCUGAGGCCUCAGGGGCUGUGAGAAGUGAAGGCUUUCGGACACUCACCACCCCUCCCCUUCCUUCUCCUGUGGCGUCCAACACCGUCAGACACCCAGGAUCCCACUGGAGGCAGGACAGCGUGAAGACUGACUACAGCAGUUCGCGUGGUGUAAAGGGUCGGGGUCCUUCAACAGUGACAGAAAUGCCAACUGGAACAAAGCAAGAGUGGUCCAAAGAAGAGAGAGGAAUAUUUCAGGUAUCAAUGUAGUAAAGCAACUUAAAGAAGGAAAGAGCACUCCAGAACAGGAAAGAUGUAGCACCCAAGUGGCUUUUCUUUUGACUGUUUUCUACAAGGAUCCAAAACUGCAGCAGCCAACCAUUGUACUCCAGAAUUACUUCAGGAAGGGGCAGAAGAAG